rnacentral:rRNA from 1 species
UACGAAGGGGGCUAGCGUUGCUCGGAAUCACUGGGCGUAAAGCGCACGUAGGCGGGUCUUUAAGUCAGGGGUGAAAUCCUGGAGCUCAACUCCAGAACUGCCUUUGAUACUGAGGAUCUCGAGUCCGGGAGAGGUGAGUGGAACUCCGAGUGUAGCGGUGAAAUGCGUAGAUAUCUGGAGGAACACCGGUGGCGAAGGCGGCAUCCUGGACCGGUAUUGACGCUGAGGCGCGAAAGCCAGGGGAGCAAAGCG